GAUGAACGCUGGCGGCGUGCCUAAUACAUGCAAGUCGAGCGAACGGACGAGAAGCUUGCUUCUCUGAUGUUAGCGGCGGACGGGUGAGUAACACGUGGAUAACCUACCUAUAAGACUGGGAUAACUUCGGGAAACCGGAGCUAAUACCGGAUGAUAUUUUGAACCGCAUGGUUCAAAAGUGAAAGACGGUCUUGCUGUCACUUAUAGAUGGAUCCGCGCUGCAUUAGCUAGUUGGUAAGGUAACGGCUUACCAAGGCAACGAUGCAUAGCCGACCUGAGAGGGUGAUCGGCCACACUGGAACUGAGACACGGUCCAGACUCCUACGGGAGGCAGCAGUAGGGAAUCUUCCGCAAUGGGCGAAAGCCUGACGGAGCAACGCCGCGUGAGUGAUGAAGGUCUUCGGAUCGUAAAACUCUGUUAUUAGGGAAGAACAUAUGUGUAAGUAACUGUGCACAUCUUGACGGUACCUAAGCAGAAAGCCACGACUAACUACGU
rnacentral:rRNA from 1 species